CAUAAUUUACUUCGUGCAGUGGAUUGAUAGAUUUGCUUGAGGGGAAGCUUGUGGUUCCUCGGUCUCAAAUAAAAAUAAAAGAUGAAUUGGAGGCUAUAGCGUCCAGGUCACGAUCUUCAUCUGACAUGUCCGAGGCUGAAAAUGGAUGAGUUCUUGACAGCAAUGUUGAUGCAGAGUGUCAAAAUUGCAAGAGAAAACGCCAAAGAGUAAUCCUUUUAUUUAAAGAGCUAUAUAACGAAUAUGCAGUUCCUUUUGAAAUUUGGGAGAUGCUUUACUUUGCUAUAUUCUGGUGAUGCUGAUAGUAGCAUUGUAAGAGAAACCUGGGCUAGACUAAUCGAUCAAGCUCUUUCAAGGGGUGGUGUUGCGGACGCUUGUUCAGUACUGAAGAGGGUUGGUUCCUGCAUGUAUCCUGGAGAGGGAGCUCGUCUACCUUUAUGCACCCUAUGCCUUCACCUUGAGAAGGCUGCACUGGAGAGACUGGAAUCAGGGAUUGAAACUGUAGGAGAUGAAGACGUAGCAAGAGCUCUGCUUGCUGCUUGCUGCUUGCUAGGGUGCAAUUGAACCUGUAUCAAGCACUUGUGAUCAGUUAUUAUCGAAUGGAGCUAUCUUCCCAUCUCCCAACCUUAGGCUACGCCCUCUGCGAUCUGUGCUUGUGGUACUCCGUGAAUGGGCGAUGAUUGUAUUUGCCAGAGGAUGGGUACAAGUGCUGCUGGAGCUUCAUUAAAAUUAGUUGGAUCAUUCACACUGGAACAAAUUGUUGUCAUUAUUAACCAAGGGAUUCGUGAUAAGAUCACGAGUGCAGCAAACAGGUACAUGACAGAGGUGAGGAGGCUGCCCCUUCCCCGGAGCAGGACUGAAGCUGUUUACCAAGGAUUUCGAGGACUUGAAGAGUCCCUGAUAAGCCCCUUUUCUUGACAGAUUUUGAUUCUUUAGUGUUCCAUAGUAGUUGUAUGAAGAGGUUUAUUUUUGGUUUGCAAAUAAAAAAUUAAUAGGUGAAGUAGUUCAAAGACACCAGUUAACGUUAUGGUUUGACAUCUUUAUCGUUUCAAUGUAACAUUGAGUCGCAGUUCAUAGCGAAGCAGAUAUCAAAUUUGAAGGCUGAUGAUGCCAAGAAUCAUAUUAACAAGUUCUUCAAAGAUGACUUGGAGAAGCCAGAAGAAUGAGCAGAUGAUGAUUUAUCAGAAUUCUUGAUGGCUAUGAAAAACUUCUGCUAGAAGUAGCCUAAACCCUGCCUUGACAAGCAAAUCAGAGGGUCCUGUGGGGGUGGAUUCAGUGGCAGGCAUUGUAAUUGGAUGGGGUGGUCAAGUUUACCCUACUGAGAAUAGGUAAGUUGCGUUGGUUAGCAAAAGCAAAGCACUUGGUAAUGCGGUGGACACUGCCUUCUGUGACGGUGCAUGUGCUUGUCUUGUGUUGUGGGGGCAGCAAGCCAAGAACAGUGUUGCCGCUUGCGAGCGGUUUUGCAGCCUGCAAGCUAGAGCGUACAUGGAGAAGAUAUUUCGUUUUUGAUGUUUAUGGUAUUUCUGUAAAUGAAAUUUCUUUUCUUCGUCGGCAGAAAUAAAAUUGCCCGACUUCUCCUGCACUAUAUCUUAUCUUUACCAUUAUUUUAUUUUCCUUGAGUUAAAUUCUUCAA